rnacentral:rRNA from 1 species
GAUCCUGGCUCAGAUUGAACGCUGGCGGCGUGCUUAACACAUGCAAGUCGUACGCGAAAGGGACUUCGGUCCCGAGUAAAGUGGCGCACGGGUGAGUAACACGUGGAUAAUCUGCCUCUAUGAUGGGGAUAACAGUUGGAAACGACUGCUAAUACCGAAUACGCUCAUAAUGAACUUUAUGAGGAAAGGUGGCCUCUGCUUGCAAGCUAUCGCAUAGAGAUGAGUCCGCGUCCCA